rnacentral:rRNA from 1 species
AGAGUUUGAUCCUGGCUCAGGAUGAACGCUGGCGGCGUGCCUAACACAUGCAAGUCGAGCGAAGCGAUUUUGAGGAAGUUUUCGGAUGGAAUCGAAAUUGACUUAGCGGCGGACGGGUGAGUAACACGUGGGUAAUCUGCCUUAUACAGGGGGAUAACAGUUAGAAAUGACUGCUAAUACCGCAUAAGCGCACGGGAACGCAUGUUUCUGUGUGAAAAACUCCGGUAGUAUAAGAUGAGCCCGCGUCUGAUUAGCUGGUUGGUGGGGUAACGGCCUACCAAGGCGACGAUCAGUAGCCGGCCUGAGAGGGUGAACGGCCACAUUGGGACUGAGACACGGCCCAAACUCCUACGGGAGGCAGCAGUGGGGAAUAUUGCACAAUGGGGGAAACCCUGAUGCAGCGACGCCGCGUGAGUGAAGAAGUAUUUCGGUAUGUAAAGCUCUAUCAGCAGGGAAGAAAAUGACGGUACCUGACUAAGAAGCCCCGGCUAACUACGUG